CAGAGGGUGCGAGCGUUAAUCGGAAUUACUGGGCGUAAAGCGUGCGUAGACGGUUAUUUAAGUCGGGUGUGAAAGCCCCGGGCUCAACCUGGGAAUUGCAUUCGAGACUGAAUAGCUAGGGUACGGUAGAGGGAAGUGGAAUUUCCGGUGUAGCGGUGAAAUGCGUAGAUAUCGGAAGGAACAUCAGUGGCGAAAGCGACUUCCUGGACCAGUACCGACGUUCAGGGCACGAAAGCGUGGGGAGCAAACCAGGAUUAGAUACCCUGGUAGUCCACGCCAUAAACGAUGAGGACUAGACGUUGGAAGGGUAAGCCUUUCAGUGUCGUAGCUAACGCGCUAAGUCCUCCGCCUGGGGAGUACGGCCGCAAGGUUG
rnacentral:rRNA from 1 species